rnacentral:ncRNA from 1 species
ACAGUACAAACUGAGCAGGCAGUAUAUUUCGAAGGAGAUGUAUGUAGCCGGGUCGUGAUCACGACAACAGAGAUUGCCGAUUGGGCACCUGUGGGACAGU